rnacentral:lncRNA from 1 species
CCACCUUGUGAGGACACAGCAACAAGCUGCCCUCUUGGAAGCAGAAAGCAGCUCUCACCAGACAUCAAAUCUGCCAGCACAUUGAUCUUGGACUUCCCACCCUUCAGAACUACUGUCUGCGAGGGAUGAGCCUGAGGUGUCAGCAUCUUCACAGGUCUUUUGAGCCUGCAUGCACAAAAGGGUCUACUGUCCCUGGGAGAUCUCAUCAGAGGUGCCUGAAAAGCACCUCAGCCGAAGGCCUCACAUAGAGAGACCUAAGAAUGAAGGCACCUGGACUAGGAAUGUGAAUAUGUGAAAGAACAUGACCGGCCAGGGGCCCUGAGUUAUUGAAUGCAACCCCCUUCAGACACUGCAACACACAGGCUGUGCACCAAGCCUAGUAUGGGAAGGACAGCUUUUCUUCAUGAGGCCUGCCAGGUAAAGCCAGCUAUGAAACAGGAAGUUGACCUUCACCAGACACUGAACCUACUGGCACCUUGAUCUUGG